GUCGAGCUCGGUAGCGUGAGCUUGUGACCCAAGUGGGGACAAUAAGAUGGUGGAAUACGGAUCAAGUGAACUGGGUCGGGUCUUGGGCUUGGCUUUAUGCUGGCCUGCCCUGUCCAAGUUGGGAGUUGAUCCAUGGGCCUUGGGCGAAGGCCUGAGUUUCUUGGGUUCUAGAGUGGAGGGCACUGCGUGAGGCUGGUUUCACAGAGCAACGACAACCUCCCGCUCCUGUCAGUGGACGGAUAACGGGCCGGUGCCUACCGGAUCCAUUAGUGCCCAGUUGACUUAGAUCUCCAUUGGACCACCAUUUUU
rfam:Beta vulgaris subsp. vulgaris chromosome 6, whole genome shotgun sequence.